CCGCGGCGCCCGCACCUGGCCGCUGGCGGCCGCUCUAGGAACGCGCGCGGGCUUCUCGGUGGUGGCGUGGGGGCUGCCUAGCGCCAUGGACCCGCUCGCCCCAGCCCCGCCCUUCCUCCGCCGCAGUGCAGGAGCCUCCCGGCGGCAUCCCCGAGCCAGCCCUGGUUAGCGGGAGCCGCUCUCAGAAAAUGUGAAUAUAGAGGAAUAUAAAGAAAAACAUUCUAAAAUCACCCAUAACCUCCGUAUCCAUGUUUUAGUCUUCACAUGGGUGCCCUGGAACAAACCGUGCAAGUGAAGGGCAUCCUCAUGGAACUGAGAUGCACUGGGGUGGAUGAUCCAGGAAACUGACAGGCAGGGUCUUGCUCUGUUGCCUAGACAGGAGCGUCACAGCAUGAUCAUGGUUCGCUGCAGCCUCGACCACCUGGACUCAAGCAGUCCUCCCACCUCAGUCUCCAGAGGACCUGAGACUACAGGCUGGAAUGCAACGGCACAAUCUCAACUCACUGCAACUUCUGCCUCCCGGGUUCAAGUGACUCAUGCCUCAGCCUCCCGAGUAGCUGAGAUUACAGGCACCCACCACCAUGUCUGGCUAAUUUUAUAUUUUUAGUAGAGACAGGGUUUCACCAUAGUGGCCAGGCUGGUCUCAAACUCCUGACCUUGGCUGAUCUGCCCGCCUCGGCCUCCCUAACUGCUGGGAUUACAGGCGUAAGCCACCGCGCCCAAUGUCAUUAUUGCUGAGUACAACUUUUUUUUUUUUUUUUGAGAUGGAGUUUCGCUCUUGUCACCCAGGCUGGAGUGCAAUGGCACGAUCUCGGCUCACCGCAACCUCCGCCUCCUGGGUUCAGGCAAUUCUCCUGCCUCAGCCUCCUGAGUAGCUGGGAUUACAGGCAUGCGCCACCAUGUCCAGCUAAUUUUUUUUUGUAUUUUUAGUAGAGACAGGGUUUCACCACUUUGACCAGGAUGAUCUCGAUCUCUUGACCUUCUGAUCCACCCGCCUCGGCCUCCCACGUGCUGCGAUUACAGGCGUGAGCCACCGCACCCGGCCGAGUACAACAUUUUAUGUAUAUAUUAUGCUAUAGAUGUGUCUAUUAAAUUAAGGUUAUCAUUGACAUUAUUUAAAUCUUUAAAAUCCUCAUUUUUGUCUGCUUAAAUUAACAAUUAAUGAGAAAGCUAUAUUAAAACCUCUCUGUAUUAUUUAAUUUAUUUAUUUAUUUUUAGACAAGGUGUUACUAUGUCUCCCAGGCUGGAGUGCAGUGGCACAAUCCUGGCUCACUGAAGCCUCAGCCUCCUGGGCUCAAGUGAUUCUCAUGCUGCAGCCUCCCAAGUAGCUAGGACUACAGGGACGCAUCACCAUGCCCAGCUAAUUUUUAAAUUUUUUUGUAGAGAUGGGGUCUUGUCAUGUAGCCCAGGCUGGUCUGGAACUGCUGGGCUCAAGUGAUCCUCCCACCUCGGUCUCCCAAAGUGCUGGAAUUACAGGCAUGAGCCACUGCACCCAGCCAGUUUAUUGUUAAAGCAAGUAUUUGGCUUCACCUUGUUUUGUUAAUGCCCAGAUAUCUGCAUGAUUAUUAAUUUUAAAAUAAAUGAAUAAUUAUUGUA